UAAUGGUAUGUGCGUAAGUUCUUUUAUUUUAACUUUAUCAUUUUAUUUAAAUUACUGCAUUAUAAGCAGGUAAGUUUGACUGACAAUAUAAAUAAUGUUGUACAUCAUGCAGACAGCUCAGACAAAGAAGUAAGUUUUUACUUAAAAUUACAAUUUAUAAGUUAUACUUUAUUUGUUGCUGCCUUAUUCUAUACAAAUGUUACUAACAUGCAGGUAAAAUUUAUAUAUGUGUAUAAAUCUUUUCAUUUUAACCUUAUCAUUUCAUUUAAAUAUAAAUUUUUAAUUUAUUUAUUUAGCCGUUCAUUAACAAGUCCUGUGCUUUAUAAUAUAUUAAAAAAUGGAAGGACGUGAAGAAAACAGGUUUGUAAAUGAUGUUGUACAUCAUGCAGAUAGCUCAGAAGAAGAAGCAGGAAUGUUUGACUGGAAAUAUAAACGAUGUUGUACAUAAUGCAGAUAGCUUAGGCAAAAAAGAGAUUGGUGAAAUGGAGAAUGAGACUAACUAGGGU
rnacentral:lncRNA from 1 species